GUGGAUUAGAUACCCUAGUAGUCCACGCCGUAAACGAUGUCAACUAGCCGUAGGGAGCAUCUGGCUCUUUGUGGCGCAGCUAACGCGAUAAGUUGACCGCCUGGGGAGUACGGCCGCAAGGCUAAAACUCAAAUGAAUUGACGGGGGCCCGCACAAGCGGUGGAGCAUGUGGUUUAAUUCGAUGCAACGCGAAAAACCUUACCUGCCCUUGACAUGUCAGGAAUCCUCCAGAGAUGGGGGAGUGCCUUCGGGAGCCUGAACACAGGUGCUGCACGGCCGUCGACAGCU
rnacentral:rRNA from 1 species